UACGGAGAGUGCGAACGUUGUUCGGAUUCACUGGGCGUAAAGGGCACGUAGGCGGCUUGGCAAAUCGGUCGUGGAAUCCCGACGCUUACCGUCGGAACGGCGGCCGAAAAUACCGAGCUCGAGGGCGUGAGAGGUCACUGGAACUCCUGGUGAAGCGGUGAAAUGCGUAGAUAUCAGGAGGAACGCCGGAGGCGAAAGCGAGUGACUGGCGCGUUCCUGACGCUGAGGUGCGAAAGCUAGGGGAGCAAACAGG
rnacentral:rRNA from 1 species